rnacentral:rRNA from 1 species
GUGACUGCGUACCUUUUGUAUAAUGGGUCAGCGACUUAUAUUUUGUAGCGAGGUUAACUGAAUAGGGGAGCCGAAGGGAAACCGAGUCUUAACUGGGCGAGUAGUUGCAAGGUAUAGACCCGAAACCCGGUGAUCUAGCCAUGGGCAGGUUGAAGGUUGGGUAACACUAACUGGAGGACCGAACCGACUAAUGUUGAAAAAUUAGCGGAUGACUUGUGGCUGGGGGUGAAAGGCCAAUCAAACCGGGAGAUAGCUGGUUCUCCCCGAAAUCUAUUUAGGUAGAGCCUUGAGGUGACACCUUUGGGGGUAGAGCACUGUUUCGGCUAGGGGGCCAUCCCGGCUUACCAACCCGAUGCAAACUACGAAUACCAAAGAGUGAUACUCAGGAGACACACGGCGGGUGCUAACGUCCGUCGUGGAGAGGGAAACAACCCAGACCGCCAGCUAAGGUCCCCAAGUCUAUAUUAAGUGGGAAACGAAGUGGGAAGGCUUAGACAGCUAGGAUGUUGGCUUAGAAGCAGCCAUCAUUUAAAGAAAGCGUAAUAGCUCACUAGUCGAGUCGGCCUGCGCGGAAGAUGUAACGGGGCUGAAAUAUAGCACCGAAGCUGCGGCAUCAGAAUUUAUUCUGUUGGGUAGGGGAGCGUUGUGUAAGCGGAAGAAGGUUCAUCGAGAGGUGGGCUGGACGUAUCACAAGUGCGAAUGCUGACAUAAGUAACGAUAAAACGGGUGAAAAACCCGUUCGCCGGAAGACCAAGGGUUCCUGUCCAACGUUAAUCGGGGCAGGGUGAGUCGGCUCCUAAGGCGAGGCUGAAAAGCGUAGUCGAUGGGAAACAGGUUAAUAUUCCUGUACUUGGUAAAGCUGCGAUGUGGGGACGGAGUAGGUUAGGUUAUCGCACUGUUGGAUAUGUGCGUUUAAGUUGGUAGGUGGGAAGUUUAGGCAAAUCCGGGCUUCCUUAACACAGAGAGAUGAUGACGAGGCUCUACGGAGCUGAAGUAACUGAUACCACACUUCCAGGAAAAGCCACUAAGCGAAAGGCUUUACUAAACCGUACUGAAAACCGACACAGGUGGUCAGGUAGAGAAUACUCAGGCGCUUGAGAGAACUCGGGUGAAGGAACUAGGCAAAAUAGCACCGUAACUUCGGGAGAAGGUGCGCCGGCGUAGAUUGUAAGGGCUAGCCCCUGAAGGUUGAACCGGUCGAAGAUACCAGCUGGCUGCAACUGUUUAUUAAAAACACAGCACUCUGCAAACACGAAAGUGGACGUAUAGGGUGUGAUGCCUGCCCGGUGCUGGAAGGUUAAUUGAUGGUGUAAUCGCAAGAGAAGCACCUGAUCGAAGCCCCAGUAAACGGCGGCCGUAACUAUAACGGUCCUAAGGUAGCGAAAUUCCUUGUCGGGUAAGUUCCGACCUGCACGAAUGGCAUAAUGAUGGCCAGGCUGUCUCCACCCGAGACUCAGUGAAAUUGAAAUCGCCGUGAAGAUGCGGUGUACCUGCGGCUAGACGGAAAGACCCCGUGAACCUUUACUAUAGCUUGACACUGAACAUUGAAUUUUGAUGUGUAGGAUAGGUGGGAGCCUUUGAAGCAGUGACGCCAGUCAUUGUGGAGGCGACCUUGAAAUACCACCCUUUAACGUUUGAUGUUCUAACGAAGAUGACGAAACGUGGUCUCGGACAGUGUCUGGUGGGUAGUUUGACUGGGGCGGUCUCCUCCCAAAGCGUAACGGAGGAGCACGAAGGUUUGCUAAUCACGGUCGGACAUCGUGAGGUUAGUGCAAUGGUAUAAGCAAGCUUAACUGCGAGACAGACAAGUCGAGCAGGUACGAAAGUAGGUCAUAGUGAUCCGGUGGUUCUGAAUGGAAGGGCCAUCGCUCAACGGAUAAAAGGUACUCCGGGGAUAACAGGCUGAUACCGCCCAAGAGUUCAUAUCGACGGCGGUGUUUGGCACCUCGAUGUCGGCUCAUCACAUCCUGGGGCUGAAGUAGGUCCCAAGGGUAUGGCUGUUCGCCAUUUAAAGUGGUACGCGAGCUGGGUUUAGAACGUCGUGAGACAGUUCGGUCCCUAUCUGCCGUGGGCGUAGGAGAAUUGGUUGGGGCUGCUCCUAGUACGAGAGGACCGGAGUGGACGCACCACUGGUGUUCCGGUUGUGUCGCCAGACGCAUUGCCGGGUAGCUAAGUGCGGAAGAGAUAAGUGCUGAAAGCAUCUAAGCACGAAACUUGCCAAGAGAUGAGUUCUCCCAAUCUAAGAGAUUGUAAGGGUUGUUGUAGACUACGACGUAGAUAGGUCUGGUGUGUAAGUGUAGUGAUGCAUUGAGCUAACAGAUACUAAUUGCCCGAGAGGCUUAACUAU